rnacentral:lncRNA from 1 species
CUAUAAAUAUUGUACCCCCUCCAUUCCAAAUUUUAAGAUCAUUAUUGAUUAGUGAAAAUUCAAUUUGAGAUAAUUUUAAAUUUAAAAGUCAUUUAAAUAUUUUAUACUUUUUAGUUACCAAUCAACCUUUUCAGUUCAAAUGGUAUUUCACUCAAAUAAUCUAAUUUAUUAAGAUAUACUAAUAAUUCAGAUCUUAAUUAUUCAAUUUUAUCACACAAUUGCUCUACUAUUUUUGUCUACUCCAUAGGAAAGCUACACAUCUAGGGCUCCCCAUAUCCGGCUACACAGUCAUAGCAUAGGCCGAUAGGCGUCCUAUGUAAUGCCCCCAAAAUAGGUUCACACAACCCAUUCUGAGUCGCCAAAUACAUGGUACAAAAAUCAAAUACAACUUCAUUUAUACAACUAUUAACUGUCGUGAAAAAAUACGACAAAGCAUAAGCUGUGAGUUUUAAUACAAAUAUUGUCUCGUAGCCAAUAUCUAAACUCAAAUAAAGUCCUCAUUAUAAUUAUUAUCACACUAUUUUAUAAAAUAGUGAGGACUACUAUAACAACCAUGUUGGACCAUCACUCUAUUCCCUGACUAGUCCCAGCUAUAUUCUCAUUUUCUGAAGAAAUUAAUGAAAGAAAAGGGUGAGUUCAACUACCCUAGUAAAGAAUAUUAUGACUAAGAUAAUGCAUAAUACAUUAUCUUUAAUCCUCAAUAGAGAAAAAUCUGAUAGAAUACAAUAGAAAACAAAUUUUAGAUCAACAACUGCAGCGAAAAUAACAAUCCAUUAGAAGAGUCAAGUAGAGCAUGAUGUCUACUAUCUUCUAUGAUUUAAAAGUCCACCAUCAAUAUUUUAUCUCUGUAACACCAAUCAAUAGAUAUUUCAAAUCAACAAAUUAUCCAUGCACUACGGGCCAAGGAUAUUCGUUUGUAUCACCAGUGGUCAUGAUCAUGCCAAACACCUGUUCAUCUAUGCACUACGGGCCAAAGAGGACUUUCACCACAACAUUUGUCUGUAACAUUACAGGUCAUGAUUAUACCAAUACAUAAUUCCUAGUCAUAAUCAUACCAAUCAAUAGUCCAUCUUUGUACUACGAGUUAAAGAUGAAUUUCAUCACAAUAUAAGCAUGGGGAUGAUGACAAUGAUAUAAAGAAUCAAUCAAGUGAGAUCAAGGAUAAAUAUUAGAUAUUUAUAAUUCAAUUCAUUCAGAGUUCAAGAAUAUCCAAAUUGUCAACAUGAUAACAAAUUUUCGUACAACUUUUUAUUUUUGCCUAAUGGAUACAAAUAAUCUAGUAAGAGCUUCAGGGGAAAUAAUUUAGCAUGAAAUCAAUCAAUAACACUAUAAGAGUGGGAAACAUAUAACCUAUGAUACAAAUCACUAUGGCAGCGGCUAAAGCUUUCAUGGACUAGUGACUAAACUCUGAACUAAAGAUCAAAUUUGUUGGCAAAAGCAUCCACACAAGUGCCUCAUAGCUCCUAAGUAAAAUUUCAGCCAUUUUAAUUUAGAGUGGACAAAUGUUCUACUUUUUAAUUACUAUCAUAGUGCUUGCAACCAAAACAUAUUAAUGCAACAAUCUUUAGAUUGGAAAACUCAAAAUCUAUAGCACUCAAAGGCAUUACGAAAUUGACAUAGUCCAACACAAACUAACUUAAAAAUCCCACAAACUCAGUCCAAAUUCAAUAAUUCACCAAACAAUGUUUAUUAUCACACAUAUCAGACACCUAGUACAAUAAGAAUGCAUUUAAUUUAAAAGCAUUUCACAAAAAAUAAUUUUUUAAAACAUUUUGAGUGAGAACUUGAUAACACUAACUUUUAUUAACAUAAAAAAUGCAUAACAAACUAACCCUUCUUUAAAGCUCAUCAUCCAUCCUCAAAUACUCCCCAAUAUCAGCGCGGUGAAUGUACCACAAUCUCAUUUGGGGUUCAUUAUCCUAUAGUCCCAUUUGGGUCCAUUUUCCUACAAUCCCAUUUGGGUCCAUUAGAAAAAUAUUUCUUAAUAAAAUUUGUGCCAAUGGGUUAAAAAAAACAUAUUUUGUGCCAAUGGGUAAAAAAACACUGUGAAUUCCCAAAUUUAUACACACAAAAAAAAGGCAAAGACAAGGUCGAAAUUCACCUCCAAAAAAUGCAUAUUCAUUCUUUUACUUCAUCAUCUUCAUCAACAAAUUAUACUAAUAAAGGAUUAACAUUCACAUGCAUUUUCCUAACAAACUUGUUAUCAAGAAAACAAUCUGCAGAAAUCAUGCAUCUUAAUCCUCUAUCUAUAACAAAUGAAAAGCUUUGAUUUUGUUAUUUUUAGAGUCUAAUAUAUAAAUCAAAGCAUUCACGUUCAAAAUUCCCAACUAAACAUGUACUUUUUCAUAUUUAACAACCCACUUUAAUUUACUAUACUUAUUAAAUUUAUUCAUAACAUUAUACAGUAAUUAUAGUUAAUAUAUUAAGUAAUAGGUAUUUUAUUAAUUUAUUCCUAUAUUACAUGAGCUAACUAUCAAAAUGACCAAAACAAAUCCAAAACAUUCAACAAACCACGCCUGGGUAGCCGCUGCAGUGCACUGUAGUAGGCAGCGCACGACUGCUAUUGCAGCUGCCUGCAGCAGCUGUGCAGUUUUGCUCCAGCUUCAUGCUCAAAUUGCCUACUUUACCAUUUUCUAGAUUACAAACCGUAAAUCUGAUCAAGGCAAACUUUUAGGAUGUUGUAAAGAGUUUAUCAAACUAUUUUUAAAAAAUACUAACCAACUAAAUCAAACCUCCUAGACCAGUUUUUUUCAUGGCUUCAAACUAGCCUGCUAGGUACUUUUUUUUAUCCGAGUUACACAUACAAGUUUCUUGAAAACAGACUUUAAACUCAAAUUACCUUUCUCAAUUUACUUGAAUUACUUCAUUAAACAAGUAUAAAGAGUUUCUAUAGAACCAACUUUGCUAAAUCCUUGCAAAUCUACCCGACAGUCUCUAAGGAGCCUUAAAUCAAACGCCUCAUACGCUUUACAUUUAGGAACAUAGUUUAUAUCUAUUUAUAUACAAGUUUAGCCCAAAAUUUACUCCCUUAUUGCUUUGCACAACAACUAUUCUCCUUUUCACUAAAUCUCAAUUACCACAGCAAUAACAUACUCAAUUUUUUCAUAAAAAAGUCAAACUUUGCUUCAAAAAUUAAGAUUUAGAACUUACCUCGCUAUAGUGUUCAAUGGAAUGAAUACAAUAUUUAUAGUUUAGUUAUUUCCCCCCUCUUUGCUGCCUCUGCUUUUUGAAGUCAAUUCCAGCCCAGCUCACACCUUAAUUCUCUUGCCCAAUUCCUUAAUGUAGCCAAACAAGCCAAGCCUUGAUGACCCUUUCUGGGGAGUUUUUGAAAAAGUGAAAAGGAAUGCAAUGGAAUGGUUGAAGUACUAAGGAUAAGAGGAACUUGAUAAUGACCAUGUUACAUUCUAAUUUCAUUUAAAAUGGUUGAUUAUAAUAGCCUGCUGAGUGCUGACUCCUUAAUCUAUUGACAGCUCAAGCUUAUCCCCUAAUUCAGCCACCUCCUAUUUGCUUAGCUCAAUGACUCAUACUCACUAUUUAGCAUUUCCCUGUAUUUAUCUAAAUCCGGAUAAUCAAUCCCAA